CAGUCGCCGCGGUAAUACAGAGGGUGCGAGCGUUAAUCGGAUUUACUGGGCGUAAAGCGUGCGUAGGCGGCUUCUUAAGUCGGAUGUGAAAUCCCUGAGCUUAACUUAGGAAUUGCAUUCGAUACUGGGAAGCUAGAGUAUGGGAGAGGAUGGUAGAAUUCCAGGUGUAGCGGUGAAAUGCGUAGAGAUCUGGAGGAAUACCGAUGGCGAAGGCAGCCAUCUGGCCUAAUACUGACGCUGAGGUACGAAAGCAUGGGGAGCAAACAGGAUUAAAUACCCCCGUAGUCCCUGUCUCUUAUAC
rnacentral:rRNA from 1 species